UACAGAGGGUGCGAGCGUUGUCCGGAAUCACUGGGCGUAAAGGGCGCGUAGGCGGCCUGGUAAGUAGGGGGUGAAAUCCUGCGGCUCAACCGCAGGGCUGCCUUCUAAACUGUCAGGCUGGAGCACGGUAGAGGCAGAUGGAAUUCCCGGUGUAGCGGUGGAAUGCGUAGAGAUCGGGAAGAACACCAGUGGCGAAGGCGGUCUGCUGGGCCGUUGCUGACGCUGAGGCGCGACAGCGUGGGGAGCGAACAGG
rnacentral:rRNA from 1 species